AUGAACGCUGGCGGCGUGCCUAAUACCUGCCAGUCGAGCGAACAGAUAAGGAGCUUGCUCCUUUGACGUUAGCGGCGGACGGGUGAGUAACACGUGGAUAACCUACCUAUAAGACUGGGAUAACUUCGGGAAACCGGAGCUAAUACCGGAUAACAUAUUGAACCGCAUGGUUCAAUAGUGAAAGGCGGCUUUGCUGUCACUUAUAGAUGGAUCCGCGCCGUAUUAGCUAGUUGGUAAGGUAACGGCUUACCAAGGCAACGAUACGUAGCCGACCUGAGAGGGUGAUCGGCCACACUGGAACUGAGACACGGUCCAGACUCCUACGGGAGGCAGCAGUAGGGAAUCUUCCGCAAUGGGCGAAAGCCUGACGGAGCAACGCCGCGUGAGUGAUGAAGGUCUUCGGAUCGUAAAACUCUGUUAUCAGGGAAGAACAAAUGUGUAAGUAACUGUGCACAUCUUGACGGUACCUGAUCAGAAAGCCACGGCUAACUACGUG
rnacentral:rRNA from 1 species